rnacentral:rRNA from 1 species
UACAGAGGGCGCGAGCGUUGUCCGGAAUCACUGGGCGUAAAGGGCGCGUAGGUGGCCUGGUACGUAGGGGGUGAAAUCUCGAGGCUCAACUUCGAGGCUGCCUCCUAAACUGUCAGGCUUGAGCAGAGUAGAGGCAGGUGGAAUUCCCGGUGUAGAGGUGAAAUUCGUAGAUAUCGUUUGGAACGCCGAUGGUGAAAACAGGUUGCUGGGGCUGUGCUGACGCUGAGACACGAAAGCCAGGGGAGCGAACGGG